rnacentral:tRNA from 2 species
GGAGCCGUGCCCGAAUUUAGGAAACACUUUGAUAGAGUGUCUAAUGGGGGUUAAAGUCCCCCCAGCUCUC